UACAGAGGGUGCGAGCGUUAAUCGGAAUGACUGGGCGUAAAGAGCGCGUAGGUGGAUGUGUGUGUUGGAUGUGAAAGCCCCGGGCUUAACCUGGGAAUUGCAUACAAAACUGCAGAUCUAGAGUAGAGCAGAGGUGAGUGGAAUUUCCGGAGUAGCGGUGAAAUGCGUAGAUACCGGAAGGAACACCAGUGGCGAAGGCGACUCACUGGGCUCAAACUGACACUGAGGCGCGAAAGCGUGGGGAGCAAACAGG
rnacentral:rRNA from 1 species